UAUAGGGAAUAGGGUUCCAUUUCAGAUUUCCCCAUUGUUAUUGUAGUACUAGAGUAGUACAUAGUCUAGUGUAUAUUGUCCUGGCUGUAGGUUGUUAUUGUAGUAGUAGAGUAGUACAUAGUCUAGUGUAUAUUGUCCUGGCUGUAGAUUGUUAUUGUAGUACUAGAGUAGUACAUAGUCUAGUGUAUAUUGUCCUGGCUGUAGAUUGUUAUUGUAGUAGUAGAGUAGUACAUAGUCUAGUGUAUAUUGUCCUGGCUGUAGGUUGUUAUUGUAGUACUAGAGCAGUACAUAGUCUAGUGUAUAUUGUCCUGGCUGUAGGUUGUUAUUGUAGUAGUAGAGUAGUACAUAGUCUAGUGUAUAUUGUCCUGGCUGUAGGUUGUUAUUGUAGUACUAGAGUAGUACAUAGUCUAGUGUAUAUUGUCCUGGCUGUAGAUUGUUAUUGUAGUAGUA